rnacentral:lncRNA from 7 species
GAUGUAAAUAAAAGUUUAUUAUUUACCCAUAGCUUGAACCUUCAGAAAAUGUUAAUUUCCUUUUGCAUUCAGAUUCCAUGCUACAUUAUACACACAGCUAACAUAUAACUUAAUCUCUUCUUCCCAUUUUAUGCAUAAGGGGAGAGGAUUUCGGGUAACUUAGAGCAUACGUAUUCUUAUAAGACAUUACAAAGAAUUGUUCACAUAUAAGUCAAGAUGUGUUGAUUAGAGAAUUAAAAAUAAUCCUUUUCGUAUGGAUUCAGAUUUUAUCUGCAAAGUUUCAGUUCUUUAUAUGAAAGUAAAACAAGUACUUUAAAAAACAAAACAAUGUUUUAAAAAUUAUUUUUUUAAACAAAUAGCUGUUUACUUAACUAUUAUGAACAAAGUGAAAUAACAUUAAAUGCAAAAAUGCUUCAAUCUUCAACAAAAUCUGCAUAACCAAGAUGUUUGAUUUUGGCUUUAGUUGUUCUGAAAAUGUAGAUUGCCUUCACACUUUGUGAUAUGUUACAGAAAAAGAAGUGGGCAUAUUUUGAUUCUAUUUUAAACAAGAUCUGUGAAUAAUCACUGGAUUCAACCCUAUAUCAGACUAAAUCUUGCCUUUUUGCCCAAAAUAGUCCAGGAUGCAUCAUCAAGGUCUCUACAACUGUAUUUCACUAACUGCUUCAGUCUGGCUGCAGUUUUCCCCCACUUGAGUCAUUCCUGUCAGCAUCUAGUUCCAACUAAGCUACCAUUUCCAAAAGCAAACACACAUACACACUAUAGUCAGUAUUUGUUCCAUCUCCUUUCUAUCCAUAGUUUACUCUAGUAUCUGAUUUCGUCUCUAGCCUGUUUGUGUAUCACUUGUACACUUCUACAGCAGGCCCUUACCUAUUGUGUCAGACAUACUUUUCUGCAGAAAAAACAAACAAACCCUUAGUACGUCAAAGUCUUAUUGAUAUGCACACAUACUCACUUUGCUCAUCCCUAUAUCCAGUUUCUUAAUGAGAUUAAAACAUUUAUCAAAUUGUUAGAACUGUAUUUGAUUGGGUUGUGUUUAGAAGAAAAAAGUUUGAUCCAGAUGCUAUUCUAUAUAGUACAUGUUGCUUCUUCUAUUUCCAGUUUAUUCUACCAUUAGCAUAAAUAACAUACAAGAAAUAUUUACAAUAUGCUCAGUAGACCUCAAAAGUAUUUCAAGUCUCUUCUUUUUUUUUGCCUCAGGAAAAUGUUCUAAAACCUUAAUGUAGUUUUCAGGAGUUUGUAGAAGUUUAAAAUCUUUUACACAAAAAUGUUAAAAUAUUUUUUUAAUCUGUCUUCUUUCCUUUUGUAAAAUUUGUGCUAAGAAUUCUGUUUACUUUAAGCUAAGUGCUUUCUGCAUUAUAAUGAAGUAUGCACAGCCAGAGUUCAUGCAUUAAUGGAAAACAAUAGAAUUAAGGUCCACAGAAUAUAAUUUGAUUUUUCAGGAUUUGAUUAAUUCAAAUUAAGACAGAAGUAAAAAUGGCCUGGUACAUAUGAUUUUAGUGUAAGGAAAGGAAAAAAAAAGAGAUUAAGAAAAUCAUACGGGCCUAAUUUCAAUUCUAAAAGACUUCUUUCAUAACAUAGAUAAUUGAAAAAAAACAUUUGUCUAAAUAGGAAUUAAGGUUUACCAUUGUGUUAUUAGUGUUAUUUAGAAAGUGUUUUGAAAGAAAGAGCUCAGGUCUCAAAAUACUAGUACUGUGUGGAUAGGUGGGGUCAUUUUUACUAUAGCCGUAAAGAUAGAUCUAGGAGCUGUGAUUCAGAAUCACGGAUUCCUUUUGUAAUUACAACAUUCUAAUAUUGUUUAAAUGCCUGUGAAGUUGAAAUGGUCUGAAAAUCCACAGUAAUUAGAUUAAGACAGCUCGCUGAGGCUCAGGCAAAUUGUGUGAUAUUAGCAUUUCUGGUCACUCCACAGUGAAAGAAAGAGAAAAUUAGGAGGGAUAAUCUGUGAAAGCUAUGGAAAUAAGGGUUUUAUUUACUAAGAAUUUGUAUUUCCAGCCCACUUUUUAACUUCUCCGUGUGCUGCAGCCACUGCCCAUAAAGAGACACAAGACAUAUUCAAAAUUCAUAACAGCAAACAAUCUAUGAGCCAAAAUUUUUAAGGAGGAAAAAAAAGAACUGAGACAGUCACAACUAAGACAACAAGAACCAAAACACUCCUGUCUUUCUGCUUGGUGUCAGUCAGCAGGAGAAAAUAUCUGUAGCUUGGAAAUUCACCCACACUUAUUUUCUGUAUUUCAUAUGAAUCUUCAAUGACACUAUGCCAAAAUG